rnacentral:lncRNA from 1 species
UCCAACAUGUGAGGCCUCAAUAAGGUGAUUGCAGGUGCCAGAUCUAGCUAUAGAUAACCCGACUUGACUGAAAAAAUUGUACGAAAACCAAAGUCCAUUGGGACAGCCACCUAAACUUGAACCAACCGGAGCCCUAAAAGAGCCAUACAUCAAAAACCAGGCCACCCGACAGAGUCUAGAACAACCCCAAGCAACACCAAGGGCACAGAAAAUCCGAAAUAAUCAGUCUGGAUUCAAGAACUACCAGUUUAAGAACAACUACAUGGCAAAUUACGUCGACUGCAUUGAGAACCUCACCAAUACGAGUACCAACCGUGUUCCGGCAAGUGACAAAUGCGGAAGACAAUGGUGGCAACCCCGUUGACGCUUUUGACAGCAACAACUUCUGAUCGACUUAGAAUGCACAAAAAUUUCCAUCAUUACCUGCGAUGGUGUCAAGCUCUAUGCUCUAUGGACAAUAACA